AUUAGAUUAGUUUUUCGUUCCAUAGAUCCGUCCUGAAGAGAUGCUCGUGGAUGUGGAACUUGUCAAUUUUUUUUUAAGCUGAAAUAACAAUGCUAAUAAUGCAGUACAAUACACUUCCUCUGAGAAGGGAUCUGGUGCUAGCCUAGAGGAGAUGAAUAUAGUGUUGACAGUUUUUUGUAUGUUCACACAUUAUACUUUUCAGCUGUGUUAUGUUGUGCGUUUUUGUAGUUUUAUUUUUUUAAGUGUGUUUUAUAUCAAAGUUUCAUCGUUUUAUUAUAUAAUUGAUUUACUUAC